GGAGAAUGAAGUCGUUAGGUCAAAACAAGAAGAAGAAAGAGUAAACUCUUUAAUUGACACUCAAGAAUUAUAACAUUCAACUUAUCUAAUCAUUACACAUUAAGCCUAUACUUAUACUUAAUAUUAUGGGUACAUUUAUACAAAACCCCUUAUAGUAUUUUUAACUCUUUACAUUCCCCCGCAAAUUGACAACUCCAGAAUGCAAUCCUGAGUUGUGAAUUUGAACAUGAGUAUGAUCAUCAGCUUGUCUGUCCACCUCCUUAGCAGCCUUGUGAACUAACUCAGCUAUGAAUUAAUUGAGCUAACAGGGGGGGCGAAAAACCCAGCUGGGAUUCUUAUUUUUGCUCCUCUUUCUUUCAUUUUUACUGGGAAAACCCUCCUGUUAUACCAAUUAAUACCCUGAAAGAAAGAACAAAACAAAAACAAAAAUCGCUGCUCAUUCUCAAAGCUCCUGCUGCUCUAGAUUUCACAUUUUCUGCUCCAGAUUAAAUUUCCAGUUAUUUGGGCAUGACCUAUCUUAGUAUGACCUGCAACCACACAAACAUACAUCCACAGUAGCCAUUCCCACAAACCAAACCAGAAAAAUAUAGACCAUUCCUUAACAAACAGACAAAAUUAUAUAUCAAACCAAACUAGAAAUAGUUUUAGAAUAUAUUUCAGAUUAUCACCCUGCAAUUUUCAACAUCAUAUUUAUCUAACAUUUCCUAAUAUGAAUACAAGUAUUACUAUAAGAACAGAAAUCAGAAAUACAACACCUCAGUAUUUUCAUUAUUAUUAUUAUUAUAUAUAUAAACUAAUAUCCAGUAUUAUAGUCUCCCUUAUAUAGUCAUUCUCCUAAGCCUCCUUAAUUAGCUUUGGUUUACUUAUGUCUUGCGAUUUUGUUAGCCUAUUCUUGUCCUUCAUUAGGAUUCUAGGAUCAGGACUGGUUGGUACUAGUUUAUGCCUAUCCCUAUGAACCAUAAAUUGCCCUGUUCCCAGUACUUUAGUGAAACCAUCUGCUAGUUGUUGACUAGCAGCAAUAUAAUCCACUUUUAUUGCCCCUUUCAUCACCAGCUCUCUAAUAAAAUGGUGUGAGAUAUCUAUAUGUCUAGUUUUCAGGUUUGAUGAUGGAUUUUUAGUGAGAAAAAUUGCUGAUUUAUUAUCACAUAAUAUUUGUGGAGCUGUCUCAAACCUAAUCUCCAGUUCCCUAAACAAAUUACAGAACCACUUAACUUCUGAAGUUAUCCCAGAUAGUGCCCUGUAUUCAGCCUCACAACUCGAUUUUGAUACCACUGCCUGUUUCUUUGAUGCCCAGGCUACCAAAUUUCCAGCAAACCAGAUGCUGAAUCCAGAAACUGAUCUCCUAUCAUCAGUAUCACUUGCCCAGUCUGAAUCACAGUAGGCUAUCAAAGAAUUUACUGGUUUGACUGAAGGUGUAAAUCUCAGUCCUAGGUUAGAAGAUCCUUUGAUAUAUCUUAGCAUCCUCUUAGCAAAACUAAGAUGUACAUCAGUUGGUGUUUGUAGAAACUGACUAAGAUGAUUCACACAGAAGACAAUAUCAGGUCUAGUCAUAGUUAGAUAUUGUAAGGACCCUACAAUGCUUCUGUAUAUUGUAUUGUUUUCUAUAGGAGUCCCUGAAUUUUUAUUUAGUCUUGGAUUUUGAACCAUUGGUGUCCUACAUGGUGUGCAUUCCAUCAUAUUGAAUUUUUUCAAUAUAUCAUACACAUAUUUUUCUUGACUUAGAAUUAAGGUUUUCCCUUGUCUUAUACAUUCCAUUCCUAAAAAAUAGUUAAGAAGCCCUAGGUCUCUACAUGAAAAUUGUUUACAUAUUAAUUCUAUGCACCUAUUUACUUCCUCACUGGAAUCCCCAGUAAUUAUAAUAUCAUCUACAUAGACUAGUAUGUAGAUUCUAUGUCCAUUGUUCACUUUGAGGAACAAUGAGGAAUCUGUAAGACUAUUUUUGAAUUCGUUUUCAACUAGAAAAUUUUGAAGUCUUGAGUACCAAGCUCUGGGUGCUUGUUUUAAGCCAUAUAGAGCCUUAUGUAAUAGACACACAUGAUCUGGAUAACUCUUAUUAUGAAACCCAGUUGGUUGUCUCAUGUAUACUGUUUCGUUUAGAAAGCCAUUUAGGAAGGCAUUUUUGAUAUCCAGUUGUCUUAGCUGCCAGUUAUAUGUCACAGCAAUUGAAAUGAUUGAUCUUACUGUGUUCAUCCUAAUUACUGGACUGUAAGUCUCUGUAUAGUCCACUCCUUCCUCCUGAUUGUAGCCCUUAGCUACUAAUCUAGCUUUGUACCUUUCUAUUGAACCAUCUGAGUUCUUUUUAAUUUUAUAGACCCACUUACAACCUACUAUAUUCAUUGACGAAUUUUUUGGUACUAAAGUCCAUGUUUUGUUAACUUUCAAUGCAUCUAGUUCCUCUUGCAUUGCCUCCUUCCACUUAGGUUCUUUACUUGCCUCACUGAAGGUGGAUGGUUCUAUCUCUUCGCCAGAGCAAGAAUUACACUCAUAAUUUUCUAAAAACUUUGGUGCUUUUCUAUCUCUAGUCGGAUAUCUAACUCCUAUGUUGAUUGGUUCUUCAGAUCUACUACUUAUACCUCGUGGUAUUGAGUUGCAAACUGUGUUUGUUUGAUUCUCAGAAAUAUCUCUUUGUUGUCUUGUCUCACUUCUAGUGUUAGAUUGCAUAUCAGACUCAACUCUCAUGGUCUGGGGUACUAAGCUACUUAUCUCAGUUGACUCUGAGAUUAUAUCCAUUGAGUCAUUUGUAGAGUUGUUCUGUUGUGAGUGAGUGACUCUCCUUACAGGACUUGACUCUGGUUCUACCCUUAACUCACUGUUUGAGUUUCCUGUAUUUAUAGGAAAGCCAAAAUUUAUUGUAGUAGCUAGUCUUGGAAGUAUUAUCAUUUGCUUUUCAGGCUUUUUUACUGUUUUAGUAUCUGUUUUAGUUAAAAACGGAUACUCAUUUUCAUUAAAUUUGACAUUUCGAGAUAUAAUGACUUUAUUAUCUUCUAACUUUAAACACAUAUAUCCUUUGUGUUUGUUUGAAUACCCUAUAAAGACACAUUUAUAGGCAGUAGGUUCAAAUUUAUUCCUUAAUCCUUUAUUUAUUAAGGGAUAACAUGAACAACCAAAUAAUUUCAGUAUUUUAUAAUCUGGUUUAUUUUUGGUUAACAUCUCAAAGGGAGAUAUAAUCCUAAAACAGAACUAGGUAACCUAUUUAUCAGAAAACAUGCUGCAGAGAUGACCUCUGGCCACAUAUUUUUUGGAAUUCCUGAUUGAAUAAAAAAACAUCUGCUGGUCUCAAGCAGGUGUCUAUGUUUCCUCUCAACAAUCCCAUUUUGUUGAGGUGUAUAGGGACAUGAGAAUCUAUGUGUUAUUCCUUUUUGUCCUAGCCAAGUUUUCAGCUUGGUACUAAGAAAUUCACCACCCUCAUCUGAAUAAAUUUUCUUAAUUUUUAGCCCUAACUGGUUUUCUAUAUUUUUCUGAAAUAGAAUAAACUGAUCAGUAAAAUCACUUUUAGCCCUUAAUGGUAUAAUCCAUGUAUACCUUGUUUUAUUAUCUACAAUUGUUGCAAAAAAUUUAUAAUUUUUCAUUGAAACAAUUGGGGCUGGACCCCAUAGAUCUAUAUGUAUUAUCUCCAAUGGAAAAGAAGUUUUUAUUUCAUUACAAGAAAAAGGUAAUUUCGACAUUUUUGCCAUAGGGCAAUUAUUACAAAAUUCUAAGGAUUUUAAAUCUGAAUUGUUUAAUCCUAAUACAUGUCCUAUUUUAUCCAUGAUUUUGAGAGAAGGAUGUCCUAGUCUUUUGUGCCAUGUAUCUGAAGAGACCUUGAUACCCAAAUUACAGUUGAUGUCCGGACUGAAAUAGUAUAGCCCUCUUUUAUUAAUUCCAGAAAAAAGCGUCUGAUGCAUCUUCAGGCUCUUCACUGAAAAUUCCUUCUGUGAAAUCUGUAUAUAACAGUUCAAAUCACUACAUAGUUUAGUCACAGAAAUUAGAUUUUUCUUAAUCUUAGGCACACAUAAAACUCUAUUAAGUGUAUAAACCUUUGAAUGUACUUCAAAGUCUAACUUUCCUAUUUUAGAAAUUACUAAUCUAUCUCCAGAUCCAAUCACAACACACCCAAUACCUGUAUAGGUCUGGCAGUCAUGAAGCAAAGCUUCAUCAGCUACCAUGUGAUUAGUAGCUCCUGAGUCAAGACACCAAUCCAGAUCUUGGACUGUUACAGAAUGUGCUGCUGCUUCUUCUUCAUUUCCAGUCAUCUGAGUAUCAUAAUCAUCCUCCAUGGCAUAGGCAGCAAAAUUACCUCUAUCUGGGCAAUUUCUAGCCAGAUGUCCUUUUUUCUCACAAAUCUGACACGCAGAUGUGUUGUCCUGUGAAGAUGGUAGAUUCAGAAUGGGCGGCAAAUUAUUCCGAGCAAUUUGAGAAGGAACAGUUAUGACCUUUGUUCCUUGAUUUUUGUAUGAUGGUUUAUAAUAAGAACCACCAUUCUUGCCUCUCCCUGGAUAAAAUUUAGCAUUUCUAUUGAAAUUAUUCCUAUUAUAAUUGGAAUAAUGCACCUGAUAAUCCCCUUCAGUUGUUGGUUGAUCCAGUUGUUUCAUCAAAAUUUCUUCUUUAAUAAGAGCAUCUGCAAGUUCUGUAAAAGUAAUAUCCUUCUGAAAAUUCAGAGAUGUCCUAAACAUACGGAAUUCAGGUCCAAGACCUCUGAGAACAUACUCUGACACUCUUUCAUCAGACAUUGAAUAUCCUGCUGCUGCUAGAGAGUGUUUCAAACUCUUAAUCUUGAAAAUAUAUUCUUUCAUUGAAAUAUCUGUUGUCUUCCUUAGUGAAUUCAACUCAUCACGAAGAGUUUGAAUUUGAUUUUUAUCAAUAGGCGAAAUAUCUGUUUCUAAAAUAUGCCAUGCCUCAUAUGCAGUAACACAAGGUAAAAGUAGAGGCUGAAUUUCCUUACAUACCGUGGCUUUAAUCCAGCUGAGCACUAUGCCAUCGUUCCUCUUGUGAGACGCAUAUGCCGGAUUUUCAAAGCCAUCACUUAAUCUUAGAGCCGGAGUCCCAAGUUUUCCAGAAACAAAUUCUAACAAAUUAUGUAUUUGCAAUGCACCUUCAAAUUGAUUUUUCCAUACUAGAUAAUUCCCUUCUGAAAGAGGUGUGGGACAGAGUGACGCAAUACUGUACAUCAUUUGAGGAACUUCGAUCCUUGCUGUCACAGCUGCACUUCCAGCACCAGAUGUGCUUGAUACAAUUCCUGCCAUAACUCAAGAUGGAAAAUCGCCACUCAACGGAACAAUGAUUACAGGAGCUCCUUGCGUCACAAACAAAUAUAACAAUCAACCACUUGGUCAAUUGCAAUUUACAACUACAAGCAAACUAUAAACUACACAAUUGAUUGAGUAGAAAAUGUAGUUAUGAUCUAAUUUCGAUUGGGUAGAAAUUACACAAUCAGGUUUUUUUUUUUUAAUCAGAUUGCAUGUAAUCGACCAGCUAUUAGCUAAAUCCUAACUAGAAUAAUCGCAAAUCACAUAUCACAAAAAAAUAAAAUCAGAAAUCAAUUAAGACAGUAAGGCAAAGAAAGAAAAGAGAGAAAAAAAAAUGGCAGGAUAUCACAAAUUGAUGACAGUAAAACAAUAUGGCAGUAAAACAAAUCUUGAUAUCACAAAUCAAUUAAGACAGUAAAAGAAAUCAAUGACAGUAAGACAAUAUGACAGUAAAACAAAUCUUGAUAUCACAAAUCAAUUAAGACAAUAAAAAAAAAAAAAAAACCGAAAUCAAAUCUAAUACGAAUCAAACGCAAACAAAUCCAACACAAACAAACAAAACCAGCUGGAUUACAGAUCAAUACAAAUACACACGUAAUCUGAAAUUAAUGAAAUCAAUGAACACGUAAUCACAGAAAUUAAUGAACAAAAAACCAAACAAAAAAUUACAGAAAACUGAAAUCAAUGAACACGUAAUCACAGAAAUUAAACAUCUAAUUACUAGCACCGAUCUAUGACAGAAAUCAGAAAUCAGACAUCAGAAAUCAAACAUAAAAAAAAAACAGAUCGCAAGCAGAUCGAAAUCAGGUCGCAAGCAGUAUUAGAAAUUAGAUCGCAAGCAGAUCAAAAUCGCAAUCGCAGAGAAAUUAGAAAUUAGAAAUUUGCAGAGAAAGGGGGAAAAAAAACUUCAAACCAGAGUUAACUAAUAAAAUUGCAAUCGCAGAGUUUACUUCAAACCAGAUCAACAAGCAGAAAUUACAGAAAUUAGAAAUUACAGAAAUUACAGAUCAACAAGCAGAUCAAAAUCGCAAUCGCAGAGAAAUUAGAAAUUAGAAAUUUGCAGAGAAAGGGGGGAAAAAAAAACUUCAAACCAGACUUGCAAUCGCAGAUUGCAAUCAAUCGGCGAGAAAAAACCACGCUGUAGCCGAGAAGAAAAACCACGCUUUGAUCACAGAAGCCGUGUCCUAGUCGCAAAAAUUGUAGCUCUCGAUACCAUGUAGAAAUCUGGAGAGGUUUCCUUACUCUUUCAUCAACAAGAAAAUGAUAGAAGAAAAAGAUAGAAGAAAGGGGGUGGAUGGAAGUUGUUAGGUCAACUAGAAAAAGAAGAGUAAAGCAAGAACUCUUUAAUUGACUCAAUCAAAAUGUAACAUUCAACUUACUUAUUAUUACACAUUAAGCCUAUACUUAUACUUGAUAUUAUGGGUACAUUUAUAAGAUAGCCCUUAUAAUAUU
rnacentral:lncRNA from 1 species